ACGAACGCUGGCGGCGUGCCUAACACAUGCAAGUCGAACGAAGCUUGACGAACGAUUCUUCGGAUGAAUUCUGAUAUGACUGAGUGGCGGACGGGUGAGUAACGCGUGAGGAACCUGCCUCAAAGAGGGGGACAACAGUUGGAAACGACUGCUAAUACCGCAUAAGCCCACGGGUCGGCAUCGACCAGAGGGAAAAGGAGCAAUCCGCUUUGAGAUGGCCUCGCGUCCGAUUAGCUAGUUGGUGAGGUAAUGGCCCACCAAGGCGACGAUCAGUAGCCGGACUGAGAGGUUGACCGGCCACAUUGGGACUGAGAUACGGCCCAGACUCCUACGGGAGGCAGCAGUGGGGAAUAUUGGGCAAUGGGCGCAAGCCUGACCCAGCAACGCCGCGUGAAGGAAGAAGGCUUUCGGGUUGUAAACUUCUUUUGUCGGGGACGAGUAGAAGACGGUACCUGGCGAAUAAGCCACGGCUAACUACGUG
rnacentral:rRNA from 1 species